UGGGGAAUUGUUCGCAAUGGGCGCAAGCCUGACGACGCAACGCCGCGUGGAGGAUGAAGAUCUUCGGGUCGUAAACUCCUGUCGAGCGGGAAGAACGUUUCGCGGAUGAAUAAGCCGCGGAAGUGACGGUACCGCUAAAGGAAGCCCCGGCUAACUCCGUGCCAGCAGCCGCGGUAAUACGGGGGGGGCAAGCGUUGUUCGGAAUUACUGGGCGUAAAGGGCUCGUAGGUGGCCAACUAAGUCAGACGUGAAAUCCCCAGGCUUAACCUGGGAACUGCGUCUGAUACUGGAUGGCUUGAAUUCGGGAGAGGGAUGCAGAAUUCCAGGUGUAGCGGUGAAAUGCGUAGAUAUCUGGAGGAAUACCGGUGGCGAAGGCGGCAUCCUGGACCGAGAUUGACACUGAUGAGCGAAAGCCAGGGGAGCAAACGGG
rnacentral:rRNA from 1 species